AACGAACGCUGGCGGCAGGCCUAACACAUGCAAGUCGAGCGGACCUUUCGGGGUCAGCGGCGGACGGGUGAGUAACGCGUGGGAAUAUGCCCUUCUCUACGGAAUAGUCCUGGGAAACUGGGGGUAAUACCGUAUACGCCCUUUGGGGGAAAGAUUUAUCGGGGAAGGAUUAGCCCGCGUUGGAUUAGGUAGUUGGUGUGGUAAUGGCCUACCAAGCCGACGAUCCAUAGCUGGUUUGAGAGGAUGAUCAGCCACACUGGGACUGAGACACGGCCCAGACUCCUACGGGAGGCAGCAGUGGGGAAUCUUAGACAAUGGGGGCAACCCUGAUCUAGCCAUGCCGCGUGAGUGAUGAAGGCCUUAGGGUUGUAAAGCUCUUUCAGCUGGGAAGAUAAUGACGGUACCAGCAGAAGAAGCCCCGGCUAACUCCGUG
rnacentral:rRNA from 1 species